ACGGGUGAGUAACACGUAGGCAACCUGCCUGUAAGACUGGGAUAACUACCGGAAACGGUAGCUAAUACCGGAUAGCUGGUUUUCUCGCAUGAGAGAAUCAUGAAAGACGGAGCAAUCUGUCACUUAUGGAUGGGCCUGCGGCGCAUUAGCUAGUUGGUGAGGUAAUGGCUCACCAAGGCGACGAUGCGUAGCCGACCUGAGAGGGUGAACGGCCACACUGGGACUGAGACACGGCCCAGACUCCUACGGGAGGCAGCAGUAGGGAAUCUUCCGCAAUGGACGAAAGUCUGACGGAGCAACGCCGCGUGAGUGAUGAAGGUUUUCGGAUCGUAAAGCUCUGUUGCCAGGGAAGAACGUCUUAGAGAGUAACUGCUCUAAGAGUGACGGUACCUGAGAAGAAAGCCCCGGCUAACUACGUGCCAGCAGCCGCGGUAAUACGUAGGGGGCAAGCGUUGUCCGGAAUUAUUGGGCGUAAAGCGCGCGCAGGCGGCUAUGUAAGUCUGGUGUAUAACCUCGGGGCUCAACCCCGGGUCGCACUGGAAACUGUGUAGCUUGAGUACAGAAGAGGAGAGUGGAA
rnacentral:rRNA from 1 species